rfam:Desulfovibrio sp. An276 An276_contig_78, whole genome shotgun sequence.
GAACUGGAGAGUUUGAUUCUGGCUCAGAUUGAACGCUGGCGGCGUGCUUAACACAUGCAAGUCGAACGAGAAAGUGGCUUCGGCCAUGAGUAGAGUGGCGCACGGGUGAGUAACGCGUGGAUAAUCUGCCUCUGCAUUGGGAAUAACAGCUGGAAACGGCUGCUAAUACCGAAUACGCUCAAGCAGAACUGUUUGAGGAAAGAGGGCCUCUGAAUAUGCUUUCGUGCAGAGAUGAGUCCGCGUCCCAUUAGCUAGUUGGCGGGGUAACGGCCCACCAAGGCGACGAUGGGUAGCCGAUUUGAGAGGAUGAUCGGCCACAUUGGAACUGAAACACGGUCCAAACUCCUACGGGAGGCAGCAGUGGGGAAUAUUGCGCAAUGGGCGAAAGCCUGACGCAGCAACGCCGCGUGAGGGAUGAAGGUCUUCGGAUCGUAAACCUCUGUCGGGAGGGAAAAACGUGCAGUGUGCUAAUCAGCAUUGCAGUGAUGGUACCUCCAAAGGAAGCACCGGCUAACUCCGUGCCAGCAGCCGCGGUAAUACGGAGGGUGCAAGCGUUAAUCGGAAUUACUGGGCGUAAAGCGCACGUAGGUCGUUGUGUAAGUCAGAGGUGUAAUCCCACGGCUUAACCGUGGAACUGCCUUUGAUACUGCUCAACUUGAAUUCGGGAGAGGAUAGCGGAACUCCAUGUGGAGCAGUGAAAUGCGUAGAUAUAUGGAAGAACAUCAGUGGCGAAGGCGGCUAUCUGGACCGAUAUUGACGCUGAGGUGCGAAAGCGUGGGUAGCAAACAGGAUUAGAUACCCUGGUAGUCCACGCCGUAAACGAUGGAUACUAGUUGUCGGGGAGUAGUCUUCGGUGACGCAGCUAACGCAUUAAGUAUCCCGCCUGGGGAGUACGAUCGCAAGAUUGAAACUCAAAGAAAUUGACGGGGGCCCGCACAAGCGGUGGAGUAUGUGGUUUAAUUCGAUGCAACGCGAAGAACCUUACCUGGGUUUGACAUCUGCAGAA